GUUGUAUGGUUAAGUGACUAAGCGUACACGGUGGAUGCCUUGGCAGUCAGAGGCGAUGAAGGACGUAUUAACUUGCGAUAAGCCCAGAUUAGGCAGUAAAAGCCACUUGAGUCUGGGAUUUCCGAAUGGGGAAACCCAACUGCAUAAGCAGUUACUGUUAACUGAAUACAUAGGUUAACAGGGCGAACCGGGGGAACUGAAACAUCUAAGUACCCCGAGGAAAAGAAAUCAACCGAGAUUCCGAAAGUAGCGGCGAGCGAAAUUGGACUAGCC
rnacentral:rRNA from 1 species